UACGUAGGGGGCAAGCGUUGUCCGGAUUCAUUGGGCGUAAAGAGCGUGUAGGCGGCCAGGUAGGUCCGCUGUGAAAACUCGAGGCUCAACCUCGAGAUGUCGGCGGAAACCACCUGGCUAGAGUCCGGAAGAGGAGAGUGGAAUUCCCGGUGUAGCGGUGAAAUGCGCAGAUAUCGGGAAGAACACCCGUGGCGAAGGCGGCUCUCUGGGACGGUACUGACGCUGAG
rnacentral:rRNA from 1 species